UACGUAGGCAGCGAGCGUUGUUCGGAAUUACUGGGCGUAAAGAGUGUGUAGGCGGUGUUCCCAGUCUGUUGUGAAAUCUCCCGGCUUAACUGGGAGGGUGCAGCGGAAACUAGAAUGCUAGAGGGUGGGAGAGGUAAGCGGAAUUCCUGGUGUAGCGGUGAAAUGCGUAGAUAUCAGGAGGAACACCUGUGGCGAAGGCGGUUCUCUGGGCAUUACCUGACGCUGAGGAGCGAAAGUGUGGGGAGCGAACAGG
rnacentral:rRNA from 1 species